rnacentral:misc_RNA from 1 species
UCUCCGUAGGUGAACCUGCGGAGGGAUCAUUAACACGUUUAUGAAAUAAACAAAACUAAAUUUAUAGCCUUGGUAGUAAGGGCCUGAAAAUGCAGCUUGUCUGCGGUUCCUCGUGCUUAUUACUUUGGCUCUGUGAACUUCGAAGGUAGGUUUAAUGCUGGGUUCUUUUGACUUUGCAUUAGAUUUUACCAUAUUUUUUUUUACAAACUCUUGUAAAACCUAACUUUCAUUUGAACAGCUUCUCUUGACGAGCUGUGCUAAUCUAAUUUCUGCUUUUUUUCUUCAAAUUCUCACUAAACAUGAGACUGUGAAAAAAAUCAAAUUAAUCUAAGAACAACUCUUAGCAAUGGAUAUCUUGGUUCUC